UACGUAGGGUGCAAGCGUUGUCCGGAAUUAUUGGGCGUAAAGAGCUCGUAGGCGGUUCGUCGCGUCGGCUGUGAAAUCCCGAGGCUCAACCUCGGGUCUGCAGUCGAUACGGGCGGACUGGAGUUCGGCAGGGGAGACUGGAAUUCCUGGUGUAGCGGUGAAAUGCGCAGAUAUCGGGAGGAACACCAGUAGCGAAGGCGACACUCUGGGCCGGAACUGACGCUGAGGAGCGAAAGCGUGGGGAGCAAACAGG
rnacentral:rRNA from 1 species